CCUACGGGUGGCAGCAGUGAGGAAUAUUGGUCAAUGGACGCAAGUCUGAACCAGCCAUGCCGCGUGCAGGAAGACGGCUCUAUGAGUUGUAAACUGCUUUUGUACGAGGGUAAACUCAGAUACGCGUAUCUGUCUGCAAGUAUCGUACGAAUAAGGAUCGGCUAACUCCGUGCCAGCAGCCGCGGUAAUACGGAGGAUUCAAGCGUUAUCCGGAUUUAUUGGGUUUAAAGGGAGCGUAGGCGGUCGGAUAAGUUAGAGGUGAAAUCCCGAGGCUCAACUUCGGAAUUGCCUCUGAUACUGGUCGGCUAGAGAGUAGUUGAGGUAGGCGGAAUGUAUGGUGUAGCGGUGAAAUGCUUAGAGAUCAUACAGAACACCGAUUGUGAAGGCAGCUUACCAAGCUACUUCUGACGUUGAGGCACGAAAGCGUGGGGAGCAAACAGGAUUAGAUACCCCAGUAGUC
rnacentral:rRNA from 1 species